rnacentral:lncRNA from 1 species
GUGUAGAUAGAUGGAUGGAUAAUUUUUGGAUCUUUUGUUUCCUUUCUUCUAACUAAUCAAUAUAAAUGGAACUCACAGAAUGAUCAAAUAAAUCUGGGACUUUUCCAUUCUUUGUUUUUUGUCAAUAAACUUUAAUUCAGCCUCUAAUUUGCUUUCAAAUCAUCAGUUGUUUCUAUUUAUAUAUUUGUUUUGUUUCCUUUUUUGUUGGAAGUGGGGGUAAUUUUUCUUGUUUUUUAUUUGUUGUUUUACAAAUGUUUGCUACUAUUAAUUUUGAUUAUUAUAUUAUUAUUAUUAUUAUUAUUACAUUUGAUUAUUAUUUCUUUUGACCUUGCUUUGACUUAUUAUUAAUAACCUGGUCUUUAUCAUUAUUAUUAUUAUUAUUAUUACAAAAGAAAUCAUCAUUAUUAUCAUCAUCAUCAUCACUAUUUUACAUUUUAAUAAUAACAAUAAUAAUAACAAUUAUAUUAUUAUUGUUAUUAUUCCAAUUUUCUAAGUGUUUGCAAAUAGUUUUUGGCAAUUAGAUGCUAUGAUCAUCAUGAAAUCCCCACCAAAAUGUUUAGAUUGUUUAUUGUUUGGAAAUCAAAUCCUGAAAUAUCUCAGUAUUAUUGUUCGAAAAGUGGAAGAGGGUGAGGCUGAGCUGAGGCAGAUAGAAGAAUGAAGUGAAUGGGGUUGCAGGGGUUAGCAAAGAAGAAGAAGAAAAAAAGGUGUAAACAUACAAAAAAAGACUUUUUUUUGCCUGUUUUGGGGUUUCUAACCUUUCUCUCCCCUAUUCUUCAACCUCUCUACUCUCUGUCUCUUUAUUUUCUCCUCUUAUACUCCCUGAAGUUUCACUGAUUUCAUAAUCUCACUUUUUCUCUCCCACUGUCUUUGACUCUUAGUUCUUCUCGCUCUAUGUCAUUCUCUCUUUCUGUCUCUUACACACACACACACACACACACACCUAUAUAUAAACACAUGCAAACAGACAUAUACAUAUUCAAAAGUAUAGCUGCCAUGCUUUCUUUUAGUGCUCUCUCUCUCUCUUUCUCUGUUACACACAUUUACUCUCUCUCUGUUCCUCCAUCUCUCUUUUAAACUCUUAUACAUGCUAAUUUACAAUUGGUUUAGUAUAUCCUCUUCACCACUCAUUCAAGCUCUCUGUCUCUCUCGUCCUCAUGCCUGUCUGUCUGGCUGUCUGUCUGUGUAUCCCUAUGUAUUACAUGUUGACAUAUAUGUUUUGUUUCACAAUCCCAUCUCCUGUCAAUGUUUUUCUGUUUCCAUCUGAUCUCUUAAACCAAAUGUUACAAUUUAUUACCAUUAAUCUCCAUAACUUCCAUCCAAUUAUCAGGACCAUUAGUGCCCAAAGGUAUCGUAGUUUCUAUAUUCCCCACUACAGCCGCCUACUACAUGCACACACACACACACACACACACACACAACAACCUUUUCAGAAAACUUUAUCAAGCAAGUUUGGUACAUUUAUUGCACAGUAAGAUGAUACACACACAUACAAAUAUAUGUAUACAUGCACAAACUCACACACACACACAUACAUAUAUGUACAUAUAUACUAACAAACAUAUAAUUUUCAUUGAUACAAAAAACACUGCCUUGAUUUAAUUUUUAAAAAAUUUCAACAAAAUUUUUCUUAGCUUUCCAUAUUUUGUUACUGGUGACUUGUUUUGGCAUGCAUCGUAAGAGCAAGUGGUAAGCUCCUUGGCAAGCCAAGAUUUCAUCGCAGUUUCAAUUCCUUAUUGAAGCCAGUUCACUUUACUUACAUUUUCACUUCACUUAUGCUGCUAAAUACCUUUCAUAAAAAUUCAUGCUCAUCAUAUUUCCCCAUAUUCCCAUACCUUAAAAAAUAUAGGGCCCUCAUGCUUAAUCAAAUUGAACCUAGUAUUGGUGAGUGGCAAAAUUGCCAUGAAGCCAUUGGUUAAAAAACGAUAAUUGUUGUUGGAUCAAAUCUAAGAGCCAGUUUAUGUUUCUGCUUGUGGUGACCACCUCCACUGAACUUUACAUCAUUAUUACUUUUCAGGUAGAUAUAAACAUUCCACUGCGUUCUGCUUCCAUAAUUUCCUUUAAAACCUAAGGCUUUGUGUCUACAUAAGACACCCUCCACCCACCACAUAUAUUAGCUAGGAGGGAAAGAGGAGGGACAAAGUGACGAUCAAGUUGUGUAAUUAAAGCUAGCGAAGUUCCUAAUGAGAGAUGUUAUCUGUGACUUUGGUUUCAGAUGAGUCCUCUUGUUGGAAACCAUUCUACUCAUCCCCACUCACACAAACUAGUGCUCUUUGAAGAGGCAUGAACAUCACAAACCCCAUCUCCCUUCCCCAACCCCAAUCCCUUUAUAAGGUAUAGGGCUUUGUGCUUAACAAAUGUAACCAAUAUAAAUUUGAGUAAAAUUUAGAAAAAAAGGAAAAAACCAAAAAGGAAAGAAUAGAAAAAUCA